rnacentral:rRNA from 1 species
AGUGAACGCUGGCGGUAGGCCUAACACAUGCAAGUCGAACGGCAGCACAGUAAGAGCUUGCUCUUACGGGUGGCGAGUGGCGGACGGGUGAGGAAUACAUCGGAAUCUACUUUUUCGUGGGGGAUAACGUAGGGAAACUUACGCUAAUACCGCAUACGACCUACGGGUGAAAGCAGGGGAUCUUCGGACCUUGCGCGAUUGAAUGAGCCGAUGUCGGAUUAGCUAGUUGGCGGGGUAAAGGCCCACCAAGGCGACGAUCCGUAGCUGGUCUGAGAGGAUGAUCAGCCACACUGGAACUGAGCCACGGUCCAGACUCCUACGGGAGGCAGCAGUGGGGAAUAUUGGACAAUGGGCGCAAGCCUGAUCCAGCCAUACCGCGUGGGUGAAGAAGGCCUUCGGGUUGUAAAGCCCUUUUGUUGGGAAAGAAAAGCAGCAGGUUAAUACCACGCUGUUCUGACGGUACCCAAAGAAUAAGCACCGGCUAACUUCGUG